AACGCACAUUGCGCUCUCGAGCUCGCCUCGAGAGCAUGCCUCUUUCAGUGUCGGUUAUACCCUACUCUCGACUCUCUAUGCAAGUAGAGCGCACCGAGGACGAUCUGAGGCGUCUCGAGUCUUGUACCCGAGUCCCUUCAAGUUGACGGCGGCACUCCAUGCCCCGCACCUGCGAUUCGAUUGCACACGCACUCGGUUAUUCGCCAAUGUGAUAUGUUGUCGCAAGACAGCCCACUUCCGUUGGCUCGAGUAUAAGAGACUCAAAUGCGUGCGCUCGAGGAAGAGUGCGACGGCGUCGCCUGGACGUUGAACCGCGGACGCAAAAAAUCCGUGCGGACGACACCAUACCAAACCAUCUGACCUGAAAUGAAGUAAGAUUACCCGCUGAACUUAA
rnacentral:misc_RNA from 1 species